rnacentral:rRNA from 1 species
GAGAAUCUUCCGCAAUGCGCGAAAGCGUGACGGAGCGACACCGCGUGAUGGAUGAAGUCCUUCGGGGCGUAAACAUCUUUUAUAAAGGAGGAAAUUUUUGACGUUACUUUAUGAAUAAGGGGCUCCCAAUCUCGUGCCAGCAGGAGCGGUAAUACGAGAGCCUCAAGCGUUAUCCGGAAUCAUUGGGCGUAAAGGGUGCGUAGGUGGUUUGAUUAGUCUCCCGUUAAAACUUCGAGCUUAACUCGAAAAGAGCGGGGGAAACGGUCAAACUAGAGUAUGUGAGAGGUGUGUGGAACUCAUGGUGUAGGGGUGAAAUCCGUUGAUAUCAUGGGGAACACCAAAAGCGAAGGCAGCACACUGGCACAUCACUGACACUGAGGCACGAAACCUAAGGUAGCGAAUGGGAUUAGAUACCCGUGUAGUCC